rnacentral:rRNA from 1 species
UAGCGGCAGGCUUAACACAUGCAAGUCGAGGGGCGAGCGCGUCGUAGCAAUACGAUGGCGGCGACCGGCGCAAGGGUGCGUAACGCGUGAGCAGUCUGCCCGUAUCAGGGGGAUAAGCGAUGGAAACGUCGUCUAAUACCGCAUAACAGCCGGGGAGGCAUCUUCCUGGUUUGAAAGCUUCGGUGGAUACGGAUGAGCUCGCGAGACAUUAGUUAGUUGGCGGGGUAACGGCCCACCAAGACCGCGAUGUCUAGGGGAACUGAGAGGUUGGUCCCCCACACUGGAACUGAGACACGGUCCAGACUCCUACGGGAGGCAGCAGUGAGGAAUAUUGGACAAUGGUCGGAAGACUGAUCCAGCCAUGCCGCGUGAAGGAAUAAGGUCCUAUGGAUUGUAAACUUCUUUUGAGUGGGAGCAAUAAGGGUAUCGUGAUACCCGAUGAGAGUACCAUUCGAAUAAGCAUCGGCUAACUCCGUGCCAGCCGCGGC